rnacentral:tRNA from 1 species
GGUUGUGGCUCAGUAGUAGAGCGCUUGCCUAGCAUGUUUGAGGCACUGGGUUCGAUCCCCGGCACCA